AACAAAAUUUUGGAAAAUUCUAAUUGGAGAUAGAUUAAGCAUACAAAUAGAAGCACUAGAAAUAUGUGAUGUGGGAAAAUUCCGUCGUCCUGGUAUGUCACAUGUAAAAAUCAAGAUUUCCAUAAUCUCUUUACUGAGAUCUUUAUUCGAGUCAUUCCCCAAAGCUUCAAUGCCCGAGGAAAAGCAUUGCAAAAUAAAAUAGAAAGAACAGAUGGCAAAAUGUUGUGGUACAUAUCGUCCAUAUGAUAAUUGAGAUUUUGUGGUGGUAGUUAUGAAUUCUUGUGAUUUAGUUAUGAAGGUGGUGUGUAUCAUAAACAGAAGUGGUGUUAUGGGGUUUUCUGGUUGGUUACGAACUAGUGGUGUAUUUGUUAUCAAUAUUUGUGGUAUAAUUUUGUUAUGAAAUUUUGUGGCAUUUUUGUUAUGACUAUUUGUUGUGUUAAUGAGAAAUUAUUGUAGCUAGUGAUUAAAGAGCAUAUGAUGGGCACCAAAACAAGGGGUGUUUUUACUGUAGGACUUCCCCGUAUAGAGGAUACAAUGAGGGUAUUUGGUACAGCCAAAUACCUAAAUUUAUGUUAAAAAUGAUUAUUUAAAAGCAAAAGUUGAAAAACAUCAAAAUGGAGCUUUCAAAAAUUAACUUUUUUUUCCAGCUUUAAAAUUGUUUCUGACCCAUAAGCAGAAGUUGUGCCAAACAUUCUAGCACAACUUCUAAUACAGAAAAAAGCGAAAGUUGAUGCUAUAUAAGCUGCACCAAAUAUGCACAAUAACCGUCUAAAGAAAUUGC
rnacentral:lncRNA from 1 species